AACGGUUGGCGCGAUGUUCCCGAAAACGGGCGACAGGAUCGUGCACACUUUGCGUAACCGCUGUGCUAAUACCUGAGCCCGCCACCGAGCGGGCUUUUUUUU
rfam:Pantoea vagans C9-1, complete genome.